rnacentral:rRNA from 1 species
UACGUAGGGUGCGAGCGUUGUCCGGAAUUAUUGGGCGUAAAGGGCUCGUAGGCGGUUUGUCGCGUCGGGAGUGAAAACACACAGCUUAACUGUGUGCUUGCUUCCGAUACGGGCAGACUAGAGGUAUGCAGGGGAGAACGGAAUUCCCGGUGUAGUGGUGAAAUGCGUAGAUAUCGGGAGGAACACCAGUGGCGAAGGCGACUACCUGGCCUGUUCUUGACGCUGAGGCGCGAAAGCUAGGGGAGCAAACGGG